UACGUAGGGUGCGAGCGUUGUCCGGAAUUACUGGGCGUAAAGGGCGCGUAGGCGGCCAGCACAAGUCAGUUGUGAAAUCUCCGAGCUUAACUCGGAAAGGUCAACUGAUACUGUGCGGCUAGAGUGCGGAAGGGGCAACUGGAAUUCUUGGUGUAGCGGUGAAAUGCGUAGAUAUCAAGAGGAACACCUGCGGCGAAGGCGGGUUGCUGGGCCGACACUGACGCUGAGGCGCGAAAGCCAGGGGAGCGAACGGG
rnacentral:rRNA from 1 species